rnacentral:rRNA from 1 species
GAUGAACGCGGGCGGCGUGCCUAAUACAUGCAAGUAGAACGCUGAAGCUUGGUGCUUGCACCGAGCGGAAGAGUUGCGAACGGGUGAGUAACGCGUAGGUAACCUGCCUCUUAGCGGGGGAUAACUAUUGGAAACGAUAGCUAAUACCGCAUAAAAGUCGACAUUGCAUGAUGUUGACUUGAAAGGUGCAACUGCAUCACUAAGAGAUGGACCUGCGUUGUAUUAGCUAGUUGGUGAGGUAACGGCUCACCAAGGCGACGAUACAUAGCCGACCUGAGAGGGUGAUCGGCCACACUGGGACUGAGACACGGCCCAGACUCCUACGGGAGGCAGCAGUAGGGAAUCUUCGGCAAUGGACGGAAGUCUGACCGAGCAACGCCGCGUGAGUGAAGAAGGUUUUCGGAUCGUAAAGCUCUGUUGUAAGAGAAGAACGAGUGUGAGAGUGGAAAGUUCACACUGUGACGGUAACUUACCAGAAAGGGACGGCUAACUACGUACCAGCAGCCGCGGUAAUACGUAGGUCCCGAGCGUUAUCCGGAUUUAUUGGGCGUAAAGCGAGCGCAGGCGGUUAGAUAAGUCUGAAGUUAAAGGCUGUGGCUUAACCAUAGUACGCUUUGGAAACUGUUUAACUUGAGUGCAGAAGGGGAGAGUGGAAUUCCAUGUGUAGCGGUGAAAUGCGUAGAUAUAUGGAGGAACACCGGUGGCGAAAGCGGCUCUCUGGUCUGUAACUGACGCUGAGGCUCGAAAGCGUGGGGAGCAAACAGG